rnacentral:tRNA from 1 species
GGAGGAGUGGCAGAGCGGCUGAAUGCGCCGGUUUUGAAAGCCGGUAGGCCCGCAAGGGUCUCGUGGGUUCGAAUCCCUCCUCCUCCG